rnacentral:rRNA from 1 species
GGUGAAAAGCACCCCGGAAGGGGAGUGAAAUAGAACCUGAAACCGUGUGCUUACAAGUAGUCAGAGCCCGUUAAUGGGUGAUGGCGUGCCUUUUGUAGAAUGAACCGGCGAGUUACGAUUUGAUGCAAGGUUAAGCAGUAAAUGUGGAGCCGUAGCGAAAGCGAGUCUGAAUAGGGCGUUUAGUAUUUGGUCGUAGACCCGAAACCAGGUGAUCUACCCUUGGUCAGGUUGAAGUUCAGGUAACACUGAAUGGAGGACCGAACCGACUUACGUUGAAAAGUGAGCGGAUGAACUGAGGGUAGCGGAGAAAUUCCAAUCGAACCUGGAGAUAGCUGGUUCUCUCCGAAAUAGCUUUAGGGCUAGCCUCAAGUGAUGAUUAUUGGAGGUAGAGCACUGUUUGGACGAGGGGCCCCUCUCGGGUUACCGAAUUCAGACAAACUCCGAAUGCCAAUUAAUUUAACUUGGGAGUCAGAACAUGGGUGAUAAGGUCCGUGUUCGAAAGGGAAACAGCCCAGACCACCAGCUAAGGUCCCAAAAUAUAUGUUAAGUGGAAAAGGAUGUGGCGUUGCCCAGACAACUAGGAUGUUGGCUUAGAAGCAGCCAUCAUUUAAAGAGUGCGUAAUAGCUCACUAGUCGAGUGACACUGCGCCGAAAAUGUACCGGGGCUAAACAUAUUACCGAAGCUGUGGAUUGUCCUUUGGACAAUGGUAGGAGAGCGUUCUAAGGGCGUUGAAGCAUGAUCGUAAGGACAUGUGGAGCGCUUAGAAGUGAGAAUGCCGGUGUGAGUAGCGAAAGACGGGUGA